AUGCGCCUUCAACGUGCUCUCCUCAUCUCUCUCUCUCUCUCUCUCUCUCACACACACACACACAGUGUUUCUCUCUCUACUGUAUGUUAAUGUGACUAAUACCUAAUAUUGACAGGAUUGUUUAAUUUUCAUCCAUGUUACUGUCGAUUUGGAGACGUAAAGAGAUAUCUUCAAAUUUGAUCAUGUUACUGAAGAAUCUGAAGUAAGUUAGCGAUUCACAGGACUCUUUGAAUUCAAUCAAGUUACUGAAGAAUCUGAAGUAAAUUAGCGAUUCACAGAGAUCCUGGAAAUUUAAAGAAUGAAAAGCAUCAGGGAGAGAUCGGUUUGUUAUCCAACUCAGUAGACAUCAGCUCACUUAUCAAGAAUUCUUGAUGAAAAGCAUCAGGGAGAGAUCGGUUUGUUAUCCAACUCAGUAGACAUCAGCUCACUUAUCAAGAAUUCUUGUAGUUAAGUGUGAAGAAAUGGCGGUGGCUGGACUACACAACGCUUCAGGGCUUGAUUCAUAUCUUGGUAAUAAAGAAAGGUCAAUCACUCGGACAGCCUCCAUCAGAAAAAUGUGGCGGGAUCUUGAAAAUGGGGGCAGAGGUAAAGAAAACGGAAGGCUCCAAACAAGUAGUGUGAUUAUUGGCCCCGAAAGCCCAUGCUCAUCUUCAUUAGAAGGUGAAAGCAUAGAAAGCGAACACACAUUUAGGGGUGCAAACGAAAUUGAAAACGAGUGCCCCCAAAGCCAAAACCAAAUGGUGCUUCAAGAGAAAGAGGGUGUGAGGAAAUUGUUCCAUGAACGCGGAAACAAAAGCUUUGAAGGACAUGCAGCUUAUGGAUGCAAGAGAGUGAGGAUAGUGAGGGAGUGGAUAGAAUCAAGCAGUCAACAAGGUGACACUUGUAGAACCCCUGGUUCAGUUGAGUCACCUACACAGACUGGUGCGCAAAUUGAUGGUGCACGGAGUUCUAUUCGUAGAAUAUACGGUAGACAGGCUCUUCUUGACUUGUUAACAAAGUUUGUGAGUGAAAGGAAGAGAGAGGUUGAUGAUUUGUUGGAGAACAGAUUUGUUUCAAGUUUUGCUCAUCGGCACCGAAUUCAGUCAUUACUCAAGGGUAGAUUUUUGCGGAACCAAAGAUUUUUAGAAGAUGAAAAACCGACUUCUGUUGCAGCAAGUGAAUUGGGGUUUUUGAGGCGAACGAAUGCUGUAUCUGAUAUAAGGAAAGGGUUCCUCACCAGAUUGAACAACUAUGGCCAUGCUGCACAGUCUGACUCUGACACCUCAUCUGACAAUGAGAUGAAUAAUUAUGACAUUGAACAAGCUGAAGAAAUUGUUCAGGAGAUAACUAACUUGACAUGUCAUCGGGCGUCCCUCGAUCUACCAGAAUCUUCUUCUGCAACAGGAGCAACGCAUGAUAAUAACAUUCUACAAUAUGAAGAAACAGAGAGACCACCACUCACAGUUCACUAUUCUCGACACGGUUCCCAAUAUGACACGACAUAUGAACAUAACGGACAAGUUGAACAAGUUGGUAGAAAUUUUGAGACAACCAAUUUUACAUCCAACCGGGAAUCCACAUAUCCACAAGAAUACACUCAGACUGACUCUGACUCUGAUACCUCAUCGGACAAUAAUGACAUGAAGUUUGACCGCAUUGACCAAGCCGAAGAAAUUGUUCGCGAUAUUCCAAAUAUAUCCCACAUACCACAAGAAUCACAUGAUGAUGGUGGAUGGUAUCAGGAAACAGCUGGGAGUGAUUUUCAAGAAUCAAAUGAAGAAGAGUGGUAUGACAAUGGUAAUGUUGCGGAGGGUCCCACAGAAAGUUGGUUUGGCAGGAACAAUUCUUAUCUGGAAGCUGCUCUAGUGACUAGGAGUAAUACAUUCUAUUGGUCUGAUGAUGAUGAUGACAGUGGCAGCAGGGUUGUUGAACUUAGAGAGCUUACAAACAGGAGAAGAGUUUCUAAUCUUCUUCAAAGUGAUUUUGGUCCAAGGCUAGACCAGCUGAUGCAAUCAUAUGUCAGUAGACAAGAUCAGGCGUUUGAAUCGGAAAAUGAAUGGAUGCAAGAUCAUGAUCAGCAUCAAAGUCUAUAUGAGAAUGAAGAUGGCAUAGAUGCAUCUCCACAAACACAUGGGGGUCAUGAUCUGCUGCACGGUGCAGCGGACAACCGAUUCCCUGAUUCCCAUUAUCACCUUGCGACUGAACUGGAUAUCAUCAAUGGCUUAAGAAUUGAUAUGGAGACACUUGAACAAAGGAUGAACGACAUGCAGAAGAUGCUUGAGGCCUGCAUGGAUAUGCAAGUCGAGUUGCAACAGUCAGUGCAGCAAGAGGUUUAUUCAGCUCUGAAUCGAUCAAGUCCUGAAAACGGAGAGUGCUUCUUAUGUUGUGAUGACGGGUUUGAAUCUUUGCCAGAUAGGUUUGCACAAAUGUUACAUAUCUGCUCAAAAUGCGCCCAAAAAGUUAACUGGUCAAAGCUGAAGGAAAGUGUCAAGCAACCUUAACCAACUGAGGUGGAAACAUGUAGAAAUAAUAUAACAAGAUAAUUAACAAUUGGAAUAAGAAAGAUAACAGUGUUUUUCUGAUCAGGUCCUUCCUGAUCAUUUGUUUGAAAUAUAGAACAGCAUCAGUAUGCCCGUCUCCUUUUAGUGACGAGUUAGUUGCACACUUGGUUAUGAGUUUAUGAUGUUGAAUACGAGAAGUAUCUUUUAUCGGGAUGUGGUGUGUUUAUAGGUUUUGAUUACUGUUGUAACGGCAUGUUUUAGAUGAAAUAUCAACAAGUUUGCAUGUAGAAUUGGUACUGUUUACAUGCACUACGACAAGUGAGUUAAUAUAACAUGGCUAUUAAGGAUAUGAAUAUGAUUAUAUCCCGAAAAAAAC